UCUUGGGAUCCCUGCUGUUCUGCACUGUGAUUUAAAAGGGAUCCCAGUUCCCACAAUCACUUGGCUAAUUGACAACCAGCCCAUUGUGUGCAGUCCACAGCUCACAUACACACAGGGUGGUCAAACUUUGUGUGUGGCUGUGGCCCGUGUAGAGGAUGCAGGUACCUAAAGCUUGCUGAGAAACCAACCUGGCUGGAAGAGUGUAUGGGCACCACAAGCUAAGAAAUUUAGGUAAGCGAAUGCGUUAAAACCUGAUAAUAAAAGCAGAAUGUUAUUACAGAUCUUGAAAGACAUAACUGUAGUAAUAUUCCUCAAACAUUGGGAACUUCUGAUAUGAAUUCAGCUUGAAUCGUUUAAUGUACAGACACCAAAAGUUGUUCUAUAUAAACUGAAUACAAUGGACAGGUCAGUCUUUUAUGUGUUGAGUGUCUCAGGCUCAUCUAAUCAGCUUGUCUGGAGUGAUUUGUGAAAUAGUGUUAUUGAAAAACUGAAAUCCUUAUCUAGUUAUAAUGAUCGAUUGGAAAAGUCAUUGAAAUGUCAUGGAAAUUCAUCCAUUCAUUAUUAAGAUUUUAAUGUUUGUUUGUUGAAUUUUAUCUCCUUAUUCAGUUCCUAAAAUCUUUCAUUAAGUGGUAAAUGGUGAUGCUCUUUUUUCACUGAGAGAGAAGGGAAUGAAGAGGACCCUGAUGGCAGUAAAGGGAUGGUUGAAAGAAGAGAGGUGAUACUGUCACAAUCCAUCAGUUUGUCCUGUGAAAUCAGUGCCAUUCCUCCACCUUGACUGAGCUGGUACAGACAGGGCAGACAACUCACCAGCUCAGAUGGAUUUGUGCUGUUUCCUGGUGAGUGUAGAAAGCAUCCUGUUUAGUAUCACAAGUCAGUUGUGUGUAAUAAAAAAUGUAAGCUUUUCAUUUGUCCAAGAAACGACAAGAUGUGAAUUGGAAUAUGAAUUCAACUCCUGCUGAGACUUACCCUCACAAAAGCAUAUUGGUGGUACCAUGGAAAAGUGAUGGUAUCAGUUGGUACUUUGAUAUAUACCAUAGUAAUGAAUGAUUACACUAUUUAAGUACCUUUCAUUUGUAAGGAGGGCAAGUCUUGCGGAUCCCAUGGGUACAGCUGGAGGAUGGUGGGAAAUACACAUGCCAGGCUGUGAAUGAAGCAGGAGAGGACAAAAUGCACUAUGACCUGGAGGUGCUGGUUCCUCCAGUGAUUGAUGGCCAGACUGAUGAGUUCAUGGAGUGUUUCUGUGGUCAAUUCCACUGAAUCACUGCACUGUGAUGUCACAUGACACCCAUCCCCAUCUGUAUCCUGGCUUAAGGAUAGUCUGCCCCUUAACAGUGGUCCUCACUAUCAGAUACUAGAGGAUGGCAAAUUGAUGGAGAUCCUGUAGGUGUCCGACACUGCCUAUCAGUGUGUUGCUGAGAAUAAGGCUGGAGCUGUCGAGACACUCUACAGUCUGUCUCUUCAAGAUUGUGGGUCACCGGGAGGAGGAUUUGAGUGUUGUGGAGGGUCACAUGAUCUCUCUGCUGUGUGAUUUAGAGGCAUACCCUCCUGCUGACAUCAUCUGGACAAAAGAUGGACAAGUGCUAGAGUUUUCCACUGGCAUCCACAUACUGCCAGCACUGCCUACACUGGCACCACAUCUUGACUCAGAGUCAGAGGUCAUGACACCUCAGGUUGGGUCAUCACUUAUUCUGCAUUGUGAGGCCCAUGGCAUCCCUGAACCAGAGGUCAUAUGGUAUCGUAAUGGACUACAGCUGGCUGCUGGGAAUGGUUUGAGGAUAGAGCACCAGCAACUGGAGUUAGUUGGAUUGCAGGUGGCUGAUGGCAGGAUGUAUACCUGCAAGGUAUCCAGUAUUGCAGGCCAAGUGAAUCGUACCUUUAGAGUAACAGACCACGGUCAGGAUUUUCUACCUCUCAAGACACUAAACAACUUUCCCAAUACGCAUGAACUAUUUGAAUAGUUAACAGUGCUGUAAGUGAUUUCAGCCAUAUUGAUAAAUUCCACAAGACUUUGCCAGUGAUUUAAACUGCCAUUUGUUCAACCAAAUGCCCUCUCUAUAAAACCCCACCCUCCAAAUCCAGUGUCAGUUAACUGGAAUGUACAAAAUAUUACUGAUUGGCUAAGUUAUCUUAUUGGCAAGCAAAGCUGAAGCCACUCCCAGAUUAUUAAGUGUUCUUUAAAGAGCCCAGGGCUGUCACAGAGACUUACUUUUUCAGUCAUAUCUGUCAGGAAGUAGGGAUUUGUAUACAUUCCAAGAAAAAUUACAAAUCCCUAACAGCACCUUAAAGUUCAUUACAGGGUUCCCACAUUGAAAAGAACCUUUAGAUGCUUUGUGUUAACACUAUCUCACACUAGUAUCUGAAUAUUACAGUGAAUAAAAUAGUCCCUGAUUGUCAUUCUUUUAUGUGUAGAGUAGUUUACAUUGGAACUGGUCCGUGAGAGAAAACAUACUGGAAUUAGGCCCUCUGCAGCUCUCUCAUGCAAGUACUUAAACCUGCAUAGCCAAAAACAAUGAAGGGAAGACCAAGAAAGACUACUUGCUUACUUUACAUGGUAAAACUGCCUUAAUAACUCGUAUUAUCUCAAUUUCAAACAUGAAUCUGAGUUUAUUACACGCUAUACUACAGUAUACUUACAGUAUAUUCCUGGCUACUAGUAGCAUGAAUUUCAUUGUGUAUUUUACAGUAGUAUUUCUACAAUGUAUAACAAAUAAUAGACAAUUCUACACUGUCACUUCACAGUUAACAGGUUCAAGAAAUUACUGUAAUGUAGAAGUGCUGUAUUGUAGAAUCACAAUUCUUUUUUUUUAUCUAAAGUGUUUGUUAAUUGUCACCAUAGUUGAAAUGAGUGUUGAUAUCUGUGCCUGGUUUUCUAAAAGUUGAUGAGAGAUAAAACCAAUCAUAGUCUAGCACUGCAAAUGUCCCUCCAGCAUUGUUCAUUUAAAAUGAUACUGUUUUGUUACUUUCAAAUGCAUUGAAUAUUGCAGCCUUAUACAUCAUAGUCCAACAUAAUGUCAACCACUAAAUUAACAAAUUUUCUCUGUACAUCACCUCAUGUUCUUAUAAUCAAUUACUCCAACUGUGAGAAAAUAAAUUAGUAACAAAUAAGAUAAGUUCCAAUCCAAAGGGAACACUGAACACAAUAAUGGUGACUUCAAAUGAAACACAAUUUUCCCACAAUGCAGUGCGGUAUUCUAAUUUAUUUUUUCACAGUGAUUUGAUGUGUUAUGACAGAAAAUGACCUAGCCUACAUUGAUUUUACAGUAAAAUUCUGAAAACAGUAUUAAUUCAAUGUUAAACCUUGUGAAAUCCUGGCAAUUUUUUUUACAGUGUAACUGUGUGGAUUCUGGAGAUCUAAAUAACUAAUUGUGCUUGGUAUCAUGAGUAUCACCCACUAUUUUGGACUCUGGCCACCCUUCAGAGGUCAGCUCACUUGCGGGGGAGGAGUUAACUCUUGAAUGUCGGGUGAUGGGCACACCCACACCCAAAUUGAGCUGGCUAAAGAACGGAAUGACUUUAGAGAAUGCUAUCACAGAGCAUAUAGAGUAAGACUAUCUUACACCUAUUAAUUCACAAUUAUUUAAUUUUAUAUUAGAAAUUAUAUAUAUAUAUAAAAAAUAAAUAUAAUAUAUAUACAUGAAUGAUAAAAUAUAAAAAAUUAAUUUUCCCUAGUCCUUAAAAGAUUAACUUAAUUUUUUGCUUGACAGCAAAGCUAGCCUAAAAAGCUAGUUUUUAGUUCAAAGUGCAUGUGUUACAGUAUCUCUCCAGAUGGGAGCACUCUAAAACUUGUAAAUAUAAGGCCAGAGGUCACUGGCACAUACACCUGUCUGGUUAUCGGCUCAGCUGGCCAAGAGAGCAAGAUCAAUACCUUGUUUGUUUUGGUUAAGAGGAGCAUUCUUAACAUUUUUAUCUUACACAAUACAAAUUAAUUUUUUGUCAUGCUGUUUUUUAUUUUUUUUAUUUUCAUUGCUAUGGUAUCAGUUGAAAAGACCAACAUUGUUGUCUAUAGCAUAUGUUGUAUUUUUGAUGCUCGUUUGCAGGUGUCCCUAUAAGACUUUCUUCAUAGCAAAAUCCAGAAGCCUUCCUUUGACAUUUUUGAUUGUGAACAACAUGGCUUUGCUGGUUCACAAGCUUUACCGGCACCAAACCAGCAUAAACCAGCAGGGGCUUAGCACCAAAUAUUAUGUCCAGGGCACAGAACAAUUGUAGGGCCCACUUUAGAUUAAAAUAUAACAGUGCUAUAGUAAUUCAAACUUUUUUUAUUUUUAAACACAAAUAUACUUUGAAUCAAGUAAUAAAUGAAUAAA